UUUUAACUAAAAAUAAACAAUGAAUGUUUUUUUUUAUCUUAACUUAGUAUUCAAUUUAAAAUAUAUAAUCAUCAAUUUUCUACUCCAAACAUAAAUUUUUUAUUCAAAUCCGAUUGAAUGCAUGCACGUUCCUAGUUCGCCAGCCUACAAAGAAAAAAAAAAUUACCAUCAUACAAGGAAAAAAAUAAAAAAAUAUUUACCCCCCACUUAACCAAAUUCU
rnacentral:lncRNA from 1 species